AUUGAACGCUGGCGGCAUGCUUUACACAUGCAAGUCGAACGGCAGCACAGGGAGCUUGCUCCUGGGUGGCGAGUGGCGAACGGGUGAGUAAUGUAUCGGAACGUGCCUGGUAGUGGGGGAUAACUACUCGAAAGAGUGGCUAAUACCGCAUGAGAUCUUUGGAUGAAAGCGGGGGACCUUCGGGCCUCGUGCUACUGGAGCGGCCGAUUUCAGAUUAGGUUGUUGGUGGGGUAAAGGCCUACCAAGCCUACGAUCUGUAGCUGGUCUGAGAGGACGACCAGCCACACUGGAACUGAGACACGGCCCAGACUCCUACGGGAGGCAGCAGUGGGGAAUUUUGGACAAUGGGCGCAAGCCUGAUCCAGCAAUGCCGCGUGCAGGACGAAGGCCUUCGGGUUGUAAACUGCUUUUGUACAGAACGAAAAGUCUCUGGCUAAUAUCUAGAGAUCAUGACGGUACUGUAAGAAUAAGCACCGGCUAACUACGUG
rnacentral:rRNA from 1 species